UAUCGGCUGUAUAUACGAGUAAUUGCGAAUACUUUUAAGCGGAUAUUCAUCAUGUAGAUUUCUUUUUAACUAUGGAGAGAUUCGAUGUUGAGAUCAUGAUCACGAAUCGAUGAAGUAAACUGUCAAAUUUGUUUACGCGACGACCGAAAUUACCGUACCAAUGCAGUUAACAGAAUAUAAUUAAGAAUAAUCAAGCGAAUUAACUCAGUAGGUAACAUCAUACAAUGCGUACGCGAGUAUCGUGAUUACUUUGAAAAUUAAGUUCCGUAUUGACUCUUAAUCGCUUUCUAAAAAUACCAACAGGCUUUUCGAAAUAUUUCCUGUACUGAGUACGCGAUCAAUUAGCUUGGUCGUUAGACAUAAUUAAUAAACGGAGAGCUGGCUACGAAAAUCAGGAAUGAUAAGGUGCAGCGAAAAUUUGUAUCUACAAAAAAAAAAAAAAAAUGUUAUAGUAUAGCAAAAAUUCUAGGGACAACCUUCCAGGGUACCAACAUUGAACAUUCAAACAAAACAAAGAUCUCGAUCGAUUAGUAUUAUGGAAAUUUCAUGCAUUUCAGCAUUUCAAUUGCUGCACGUGCCACGUGACUACAUGUUGAAGGUUGUGUGCAAUAAGAAGCGUACAACGCUAACGAAUAUCCGUAUGAACGAUGCUGUAAUAAACAUUAUUCGAUACGCUGCACGAGUAGCGCAUACGUUUCGCAUAUAUUUUUCAUUUAACGAAUUGAAAAUAUAUCAGGGUGAUAAAACGAAAUUCAGUCAAUAAGAUUGACUUACUUAGCUAUUAUCUCUUAGAAAAUAGCCAUACGAUUACGUGAAAAUUAAUUGCGUUCGUCUAAAGCUUAACACUAAUUUUAAAGCAAUCUGUACUCAUCCUUGCUAUGUUUCUUAACCUUCGCACACCGGCAACCAAAUUUAGCAUACACUUCUUCGCGACACGAUCAACUACUGUAAAUACAAGUGGAACAUCAUUUACGAUUAUCCUAUCAAAGAGGCGUCCGCUCGUAAUUGUAAUGUACAGAUGGUUACUGACUCGAAUAACGAGUAGGUCGUCGGUGGUUAAAGUGUGCACUACAGAUUGGCACAAUGGCAAACGUUGAACUCGUCAAUAACGAUGCCGUCCUCGAAAAUGCACUUAACUUAUUAUCUAUCAUUGUUCUCUCUCGUACGUGACAUGUUUGAAGUUUGAAUACAAUUAUUUCAGAUUCGUAAUGGCAUAAGCACGAAUCGAACGGUACAACGACAUUUCGACUUGUCGAACAACACGUCGUACAAGUAAUUUUUUUUUUUUUUUUUUUACGAAAAGUUAAACCCCUUCGCAUUAGUGCAUCAAACGUAGUUCAUUUCGUACGUACACCAAACGUCCGUUCGUAACUUCUAAUACGCUACGUGGUGAUUAAAUUUAUGUUCGACAAAGUCCUAUUCUAUGGAUACAAUUGAGAUAUAAAAAUUUAUUGUAACCGCACAGGAAAAAUUUCCAAGUGUUUGCGGUUAAUUAACGUCUUGGAAUAAUGCAAGAUAAGAGUUCUCGAUUCUGAAGUUUGGCUGUUGCUUGAGAAUUCAUUGCGGAACUUAUAAAUAGACUGCCAUGCACAAUCGUGCCCGGUUUUGUCUGCGCGCAGACGUGUGUGCGUUGUCGCUCAAGCUCUUAUGAGUUUAUUAACCCUGAACCGUCGGUAUGGCACGAGAAUAAACAUGGUUAAUACUUCUUUAAUAAGAAAAAUACAAUAGGCCUCGCUGUAUCGUCCGUAGCAAAUUCAAUGAGACCUUUCUUGUUGUGUCGCGGUUAACGGUAUAAGGAGCAAUUCUUAUCUCUGUUUCUCUAUUGAGCUGUGUGCGUAUGACAAAGUCCUUUGGUGAACGCGAAUCGCCAGUUUUGCACAGUUUUGCACGUUGUGUGUCGACGGCAUUCCAUAUUAUAGGUCAGGAUCCCCACUUUCCACUCGUGAGCGUCUGUUUCCUUAUUUAACACGUUCACGUCGCUUGUAAUUUCCACCGGUGGCUUGCGCUUGACUCAUCGGGCGGCGCGUACCACCGGUGGCUCGCGCUUGUAUGUCCCAUCGGACGGCAUGUACCACCGGUGGCUCGCGCUCGCGCGUCUAUCAGACGGCGCGUGCCACUGCGCCGCCCCAUGGCGAGAAACACAAAUAUCGAGCGCCGGUGUGUACCACCGAUGACACACUAAUAUGUCCCAUCGGGCGGCGUGGACCACCGGUGGCUCGCGCUCGCGCGUCAAUCAAAUAGGGUGUACCUCCGCGCCGUCCCGUGGCGAGAAACACAAACAGCAGCGCCGGCGUCAAUGUGUUCGUGUCCAUUUUUUAAUUAGUGGGACGUCUAGAAACUUAGCAGAAGGCCAUAGCUGAAAAUCAAUGGAGACCGUUAUUCUGAUAUUUUACAGAAUUUUAUUAUAAAAGACAGGGAAAAAUGUUU